ensembl:rRNA 5S_rRNA 5S ribosomal RNA
GUCUAUGACCAUAUCCUCCUGCCUGCACCUGAUCUCAUCUGAUUUCAAAAGUUAAGCAGGGUAGGGCCUGGUUAGUACUCGGAUGGGAGUUUGGUACUAUCUAUGGUUUCAGGCACCCACUGAGGGUCUUAGAAU